AUUGAACGCUGGCGGCAGGCCUAAAAAAUGAAAGUCGAGCGGAGCGGCGGACGGGUGAAUAAUGCAUAGGAAUCUGCCUGGUAGUGGGGGAUAACGUCCGGAAACGGGCGCUAAUACCGCAUACUAUCAGAUGAGCCUAGGUCGGAUUAGCUAGUUGGUGGGGUAAAUGCCUACCAAGGCGACGAUCCGUAACUGGUCUGAGAGGAUGAUCAGUCACACUGGAACUGAGACACGGUCCAGACUCCUACGGUAGGCAGCAGUGGGGAAUAUUGGACAAUGGGCGAAAGCCUGAGCCAGCCAUGCCGCGUGUGUGAAGAAGGUCUUCGUUUUUUAAAGCACUUUAAGUUGGGCGGCGUUAUCUACAGAAUAAGCACCGGCUAACCCCGUGUCAGCAGCCGCGGUAAUUC
rnacentral:rRNA from 1 species